GGCCUGACGGCCAUGCCGGAGGGACGCAUCCCGAGUGAGUUCCGGCACUUACACUGCUAUUUUGCACUUAAUCUGCUGUCUAUACCCCCCACUGAUGACUCUAUUUACCCCUAUUAUGCUCCUAAAUCGAGUGGGGAUGUUCCUAAGCAUGUGCGAUGUCCCUGGGUGUUCACACCAGUGGAGAGCUAGCUCAGAGGCCUGGUGCGCUUGGAGGGGUGGAAAAGCGGCCGAUCUCAGCUCCAGGUCCGCGUGGCUGUUAGAUGUCCCAUUUUCCCCCUUUUGGACUGGCAGGGGUGAUCCCGAUCUACCCCUGGAGACCCCCUUCCCUGGCUGAGUUUGCGUGGCAAAACUGCAAUUCAAGAAACCAGCACCCGACGCACUCAAUAUGGCAGAUGCAGCGUGCCUCCUCGAUCCAUGCAGGGGAUUUUCUACAGCCCAACCACCUGAAUAGAUCCAAGUCCUUAUGGGCAGCGGUGGAAACCCAGCUGAGACUUGCGACGCCGAGAGUCCAGUCAAGAAGCAUACCUGGGGGCCUGCGAGGCAAGGCUGUGUGGAAGGUGGGAAAUCCUUUCAUGAAUGAGAAAAACAGGCAUCAGCAGACUUCAGGGACACUCUCUCUCUCUGGCACUGAGCCUUAGAGAUGCAUCUGAGUUUAUCUCCCAUUGGGCAGCAGGCUUGUUUUUACCUAUCUGCAUGUGGGUCAUUCAGUUCUUGCCUAAAUUGGGGGUAUCCUGAGGGUCUCACUCUCCCAUGAAACCUUGCUACGUUAUUGAUUUAACUCUCUCUUAGCAUCUCCUCUCAAUUCAGUGCAUAUGCAUCUAUUUGUCUCCUGUUCACAACUCUAGUACUGUACUGAUUUGCUUUUAUCUUGAAUUUACAAAAAACAAAUGUGCUGUUCCCUCUAAAAUGACUACUAAUGUUUUACUCACUUUUAGUGAUGUCCCGAAUGGUUCGCCGAACGGUUCGCCGCGGACGGCGAACAUAUGCGCUGUUUGGUCCGCCCCCUAUUCAUCAUCAUUGAGUAAACUUUGACCCUGUACCUCACAGUCAGCAGACACAUUCCAGCCAAUCAGCAGCAGACCCUCCCACCUCCUGGACAGCUCACUAAGAAUGCAGCUUCACAAUGAAUGUAAAAUGGAUGCUGUCCAGGAGAUGGGAGGAUCUGGGAGGGAGGGUCUGCUGCUGAUUGGCUGGAAUGUGUCUGCUUACUGUGAGGUACAGGGUCAAAGUUUACUCAAUGAUGCCAUAGGGGGCGGACCGAACAGCGGCGAACCGUUCCGGAUACCACUACUAACUUUGCUUUUUCCUCAAAAUGUUUUCUUGUACAAUAUACACUUAUUUUGUCUUGUUAUUUCAUUUUAUUGCAACCCUCAAAGUGUAUAAUGUGUUAUAUUUAUUAUUC